rnacentral:rRNA from 1 species
CAGCCGCCGCGGUAAUCCGUAGGUCCCGAGCGUUGUCCGGAUUUAUUGGGCGUAAAGCGAGCGCAGGCGGUUAGAUAAGUCUGAAGUUAAAGGCUGUGGCUUAACCAUAGUACGCUUUGGAAACUGUUUAACUUGAGUGCAAGAGGGGAGAGUGGAAUUCCAUGUGUAGCGGUGAAAUGCGUAGAUAUAUGGAGGAACACCGGUGGCGAAAGCGGCUCUCUGGCUUGUAACUGACGCUGAGGCUCGAAAGCGUGGGGAGCAAACAGGAUUAGAUACCCCCGUAGUCCCUGUCUCUUAUACA